rnacentral:lncRNA from 1 species
AUUGGUCCAUAUAUAUAGGAGGAGGGAGGGGAGGCUUGCCUUGAGGCUCAAGGAGCCCCAAGGGCUGCGCACCAAGGGGAGGAGUCCUCCUCCAAUCCUAGUCCAACUAGGAUUGGAAAGUGGAGUCCUUCUCUCCUUUCCCACCUCUUUUUUUUCUUUUCUCUUUGAUUUCCUAUCCUUGGCGCAUAGGGCCCUCUUGGGCUGUCCCACCAGCCCACCAAGGGCUGGUGCGCCACCCCU